rnacentral:rRNA from 1 species
GACGAACGCUGGCGGCGCGCCUAACACAUGCAAGUCGAACGGAGAACACUGGACGGAGUCUUUCGGGAUGAAGACUGGUGCUUCUUAGUGGCGAACGGGUGAGUAACGCGUGAGGAACCUGCCCCGAAGCGGGGGACAACAGUUGGAAACGACUGCUAAUACCGCAUAAGCCCAGGGGGCCGCAUGGCCCUGUGGGGAAAGGAUUUAUCCACUUUGGGAUGGCCUCGCGUCUGAUUAGAUAGUUGGUGGGGUAACGGCCUACCAAGUCGACGAUCAGUAGCCGGACUGAGAGGUUGAACGGCCACAUUGGGACUGAGAUACGGCCCAG